UGAAAUUCUUUUAUGAUUGAUAUAAACAUUUAUCAUUUAUAAGAUAUUCGUCAUUAAUAAAAAUCAUACACACUAAUUCAUAAUAUAUAUAACAUAGACAUAAUAUAGAUCGUCCUUACACAGUUGGAAACAAAAAAAUCAAGCUAAAGUUAUACUACAAAUAUUUAUAUUGUAGUACACAUAUCUUUUCAACAAAAUUAACUUAACAAACAAUGAACAUUUUACAUUUAAAUUAGUAAAAAAAUUGCAAAUUCAUAUACAUAUUGAACUGAUUUUUAUUUAAAUAGUUUUAUAAAAUUUUAUUUGUCUAGCUAUAAUGUUUUUGAUCCAAUAUUUAUAUUCGAAUAAUAGUAAAAUUUUCUCCGGUAGAAAAGUAUUCAAGAAUAGUAUAGUACUGUAUGAAUUUAAUUAAAUCCUUACAUGUUCCUCUUUGUUAUUUGUUUAUCCUCUCACUAAGUUUUACUCGCCUCUUUAUUUUUCCAACCAGUAUCAUGCAGGAUGUCUAGGAGAUAGAUCAGAAUAGAAGUAUUAACUGAUAGAGCUUUGCGUUGCUAAACUCCAUAAUCUGGAAUAACUGAAGAUAAAAGAUUGAAUGAUUAGGCCCAAUUUAGAAAUAUAACUUAUGAUAAUAAAGUGUUAAAGAUAAUGAGGGGCUUAUAUUAUAUGAAACCUUGUUUCUAUAGGUCCCUUCUUGUUAGUAAUUUCUAGGACACUUAUGUAAUACCCGUAAAUUUUUAAUUUAAAUCUUUCUAUUUUUUAGGAGUAAUUUAGUAAAUUAAUAAUUUUCAUGAGUAAGCAAACAUCAUUUAAUUUAAUUUAAUUCAAUAUUUCCCAAUAAUUCAAGUAUAUUAGUUUUGGUAAAUCUUAAUUUUAGAUUUAUAGUUUUAAAAGAAUAGUCAAUUUUAUUCACAUUCAUAUUAGUUUUAUUUAAAAUACUUGUUUUCUAUUUAACUUGAAUUUAAUAUUAUAUUAAAUAUUAAUUAUUUAUUUAUUUUAUAUAUAAUAUCACUAUUAUGAGUCUAACUAAAGUUAGUUUAUCAGAAUAGGAAUUACGGGUGUAUAAAUGCAUGAAUAUAUAUAUAUAUAUAUAUAUAUAUAUAUAUAUAAAAGGGGCUCAACACAAUAUCAGGUUUGGAAAAAUUGCUGAAGGACCCCUGUACCCAUUUUCUUCUUUCCUUCUUCCUCUCCCUCCUUUGCCAUCGACCUCUUCUACUCCCUUAUUAUUUUAUGAUGUUCUACAUUUUUUAGUUAACCAUUAUAUAUACAUAUAUAUACUUAUGGUUGCUUUACUUUAGAUAUAUGAUUUUAACUCACUUUCGAGACUGACAGUCUCAAUUUUAAUUUUUCAAGUGACAUAGGUUUCCGUCGACUUUUUCUUGACAGUCUGACUUCCUUCUCUUUCGGGCCUAUUGUAACUAACUACAUUUUUUGCAUUUUGAAUUAUUUGAAACUCUAGACUCUCCGUAGUAGUAGACCCGAAAUUUUAUAUUUUAUCUUGGUUUGUUAAAAAAUAUGGAAAUUACUAAGUAGUCAUAUUGAUGGAUUAAUUUAAUUAUAUUAUGUUUACGUGAAUGAAUUAUCGAUUUGACUAAUUAGCUCAAAUGCUGGCCCAGAUUCAGGCCUUGGUUCAGCAACCUGGUGGGUUCGGUUUGCAACAUUCCGAUGGGUCAGGCGCAACUGAUCACAUUGACAUAGGAUCCCAUAAAAUUGUAAAAUUUAACUCCUAUUAGCAAUUCUCAACAUGGGAGAGUUGUUAAUGGGGCCAAAGCCAAAAUUCAUAGCUGCGGUACCACUUCAUUACUUAAUACAAGCAUUAAGAAUAUCUUGUUAUUACCUGAGUUUAAAUUCAAUCUCUUAUAUGUUGGCAAAAUUACUUGUGAUUUAAACUGUAAUGUUAUAUUCUCACAAUCUUUAGUCAUAUUUCAGGACCGAAAGAAGAUUGGUGAGGAGAAAUUAAAAAAUGAGUUAUACUACCUCAAAAAUUCACCCAAACAGUGUUUUAUGUCAAAUAACUCAAUUGAUCAAGGCAUGUUGAUGCAUCAGCGGUUUGGGCAUCUCUCUGAUAAAGUUUUAAACCAAUUAUUUUAUUACAAUUUAAAUUCUAGUAACUGUGAUGUCUGCAAGUUUUCUGAACACACUCGCUUGCCUUUUCCUUUAUCAUCUAGUAUGUUUGAAAAAGCAUUUGAUUUAAUUACUCGGAUGUUUGGGGACCUGUCUCCAUUGAAUAUUUUGUUACUUUUACUGAUGAUCAUUCACGUACCACCUGGGUCUAUUUGUUAAAAGGAAAAGAUGAAGUAUUCUCUCGUUUUUAGGAAUUAUUUAAUCUUAUUCAAAACCAGUAUGCUUUCUAAUGGCAUCGGUUUCGUGGCGAUUGGACUCCGUUUGAAAAUCGACGGCCGAGAUCGUCCGUAAUGAAGUGUUGAGGACCCGACUCCCGUUAAAAUAAAGUGUUGAAAUAUUUGAAUGUUUUC